rnacentral:tRNA from 1 species
UAUACUUGAGUGUUGAGAUGCAUAAGGAAUUUUGAUUUCCUAGGUAUGGUUUAAUUCCAUAAAGUAUAA